UAGGGAAUCUUCCGCAAUGGACGAAAGUCUUACGGAGCAACGCCGCGUGAGUGAAGAAGGCUUUCGGUUCGUAAAACUCUGUUGUUAGGGAAGAAAAAAUGUAUAGUAACUAUAUACAAAAGAGACGGUACCUAACCAGAAAGCCACGGCUAACUACGUGCCAGCAGCCGCGGUAAUACGUAGGUGGCAAGCGUUGUCCGGAAUUAUUGGGCGUAAAGCGCGCGCAGGUGGUUUAGAAAGUCUGAUGUGAAAGCCCACGGCUCAACCGUGGAGGGUCAUUGGAAACUAAUAAACUUGAGUGCAGGAGAGAAAAGUGGAAUUCCUAGUGUAGCGGUGAAAUGCGUAGAGAUUAGGAGGAACACCGGUGGCGAAAGCGGCUUUUUGGCCUGCAAAUGACACUGAGGCGCGAAAGCGUGGGGAGCAAACAGG
rnacentral:rRNA from 1 species